GCAAGCCUGAUGCAGCCAUGCCGCGUGUGUGAAGAAGGCCUUCGGGUUGUAAAGCACUUUCAGUCGUGAGGAAGGUGGUAGAGUUAAUAGCACUAUCAUUUGACGUUAGCGACAGAAGAAGCACCGGCUAACUCCGUGCCAGCAGCCGCGGUAAUACGGAGGGUGCGAGCGUUAAUCGGAAUUACUGGGCGUAAAGCGCAUGCAGGUGGUUUGUUAAGUCAGAUGUGAAAGCCCGGGGCUCAACCUCGGAAUAGCAUUUGAAACUGGCAGACUAGAGUACUGUAGAGGGGGGUAGAAUUUCAGGUGUAGCGGUGAAAUGCGUAGAGAUCUGAAGGAAUACCGGUGGCGAAGGCGGCCCCCUGGACAGAUACUGACACUCAGAUGCGAAAGCGUGGGGAGCAAACAGGAUUAGAUACCCUGGUAGUCCACGCCGUAAACGAUGUCUACUUGGAGGUUGUGGCCUUGAGCCGUGGCUUUCGGAGCUAACGCGUUAAGUAGACCGCCUGGGGAGUACGGUCGCAAGAUUAAAACUCAAAUGAAUUGACGGGGGCCCGCACAAG
rnacentral:rRNA from 1 species